GACGAACGCUGGCGGCGUGCUUAAAACAUGCAAGUCGAACGAAGUGGCGGACGGGUGAGUAACGCGUAAUCAACCUGCCCUUCAGAGGGGGACAACAGGUGGAAACGACUGCUAAUACCGCAUACUGUAGGAGGGGAUUGCGUCUGAUUAGCUAGUUGGAGGGGUAACGGCCCACCAAGGCGAUGAUCAUUAGCAGGGCGUAGAGGAUGAACGGCCACAUUGGGACGGAGACACGGCCCAGACUCCUACGGGAGGCAGCAGUGGGGAAUGUUGGACAAUGGGCGCAAGCCUGAUCCAGCCAUGCCGCGUGACGGAAGAAGGCCUUCGGGUUGUAAAGGACUUUUGUCAGGGAAGCGGUACCUGAAGAAUAAGCACCGGCUAACUACGUGCCAGCCGCCGCGGUAAUAC
rnacentral:rRNA from 1 species